rnacentral:rRNA from 1 species
GCUGUGCACUCCUACGGGAGGCAGCAGUGGGGAAUAUUGCACAAUGGGCGCAAGCCUGAUGCAGCCAUGCCGCGUGUAUGAAGAAGGCCUUCGGGUUGUAAAGUACUUUCAGCAGUGAGGAAGGUGGAUAUGUUAAUAGCAUAUUCAUUUGACGUUAGCUGCAGAAGAAGCACCGGCUAACUCCGUGCCAGCAGCCGCGGUAAUACGGAGGGUGCGAGCGUUAAUCGGAAUUACUGGGCGUAAAGCGCAUGCAGGUGGUUUGUUAAGUCAGAUGUGAAAGCCCGGGGCUCAACCUCGGAAUUGCAUUUGAAACUGGCAAACUAGAGUACUGUAGAGGGGGUAGAAUUUCAGGUGUAGCGGUGAAAUGCGUAGAGAUCUGAAGGAAUACCGGUGGCGAAGGCGGCCCCCUGGACAGAUACUGACACUCAGAUGCGAAAGCGUGGGGAGCAAACAGGAUUAGAUACCUUGGUAG